rnacentral:rRNA from 1 species
CCUACGGGAGGCAGCAGUGAGGAAUAUUGGUCAAUGGACGGAAGUCUGAACCAGCCAUGCCGCGUGCAGGAAGACGGCUCUAUGAGUUGUAAACUGCUUUUGUACAAGGGUAAACCUGAAUACGUGUAUUCAGCUGAAAGUACUGUACGAAUAAGGAUCGGCUAACUCCGUGCCAGCAGCCGCGGUAAUACGGAGGAUCCAAGCGUUAUCCGGAUUUAUUGGGUUUAAAGGGUGCGUAGGCGGUCGGAUAAGUUAGAGGUGAAAUCCCGAGGCUCAACUUCGGAAUUGCCUCUGAUACUGUUCGGCUAGAGAGUAGUUGCGGUAGGCGGAAUGUAUGGUGUAGCGGUGAAAUGCUUAGAGAUCAUACAGAACACCGAUUGCGAAGGCAGCUUACCAAGCUACUUCUGACGUUGAGGCACGAAAGCGUGGGGAGCAAACAGGAUUAGAUACCCCAGUAGUC